rnacentral:rRNA from 1 species
GUAAUACGUAGNGGCCAGCGUUNUCGGAUUUACUGGGUNUAANGGGCGUUAGGCGGACUUNNANUUGGAUGUGAAAUGCCGUAGCUUAANUACGGGUUGUCAUCCAAAACUGCAUNUCUUGAGUGUCAGAGGGGAAAGUGGAAUUCCUAGUGGAGCGGUAAAAUGCAUAGAUAUUAGGAGGAACAUCAGUGGCGAAGGCGACUUUCUGGCUGACAACUGACGCUGAGGCGCGAAAGCGUGGGGAGCAAACGGGAUUAGAUACCCCGGUAGUCCACGCCGUAAACGAUGAAUACUAGGUGUAGGAGGUAUCGACUCCUUCUGUGCCGCAGUUAACGCAUUAAGUAUUCCACCUGGGGAGUACGGCCGCAAGGUUAAAACUCAAAGGAAUUGACGGGGGCCCGCACAAGCAGUGGAGUAUGUGGUUUAAUUCG